rnacentral:lncRNA from 1 species
UCACAGCCCCAACCAGCCAGUGCUCCAGGGUGGAGCCGAUCCGAUUCUGGAUGCUUUGUGUCUGAGUCGCCUCUGACCACACAAAGCCGGUUCAGCGGGGCUUUCAGACGCUCCUGCGCCCAGCUCCCAUCACUCGGAGGGACUCCUCGGCUCAGAGAAACCGGUGGCGGGAGCCCAGGGGCAGCUGAUGGCAGCGGCCACCAUGGGCUUGCCUUUGGUCAGUGCCGUUGGGCAAAACGCCAUCUCGAGGGGCCAGGCCGUAGUGGAACAUUUACGGAGAAGCUGGGGCCCCGAGGAAGGGACGUUUGCUUUCCUCCUGUCCUUUCACAGAAUCCCCAGAAGCUGGCCAGGAGCCUACCGUGCCUCUCAGAUCCCCACAAACUAGCCCCAGCUGACUUCUGUAAACUCGUCUCUCACUGGCCCCCAGCAGGGACCCCCCCAAAAUGCCUUUCUUCCGUGACAACCGCCUCUCCUUCAAUCUGGAAUCAUCUCCCCUCUCCUUCCCCCCUGCAGCUCAUAACCAUUUGUCAAGGCUCCAUUCCAACCCCAAAUCCCACUUCUUGUAUGACACAUGGUCCGCCCAGGUCCAGAUCUCCAACAGCCAUCUCUGAACUCAAGUUAGAUCCCCGGACGUGGGAGGCACAGAGCUGGCCUCCGGUGCAGGUUCUGUGGUCAGCUCCAGCCUGGGCACACUGCCACGUCAGCUCAGCUGAGCCUCCCAGUUAUCCUGAGUACUGCAGCUGCCCCCUCCCUUGGCCAAUGGGGAUUGUUGAGUCUGUUGGCUCAGACGGUAAAGAAUCCACGUGCAGUGCAGGAGACCCUGGGCCAGGAAGAUCCCUGGGUCGGGAAGAUCCCCUGGAGAAGGGAAUGGCUACCCACUCCACUAUUCUUCCCUGGAGAAUCCCAAGGACAGAGGAGCCUGGUGGGAGGAGCUGGACAGUACAUGGAGUCUGGAGAAACCCUGGACAGAGGAGCCUGGCGGGCUACAGUACAUGGAGUCGCAGAGUCGGAGACGACUAA